rnacentral:rRNA from 1 species
GGGUGAGUAUCAUUUAGGAAUCUACCUAGUAGUGGGGGAUAGCUCGGGGAAACUCGAAUUAAUACCGCAUACGACCUACGGGUGAAAGGGGGCGCAAGCUCUUGCUAUUAGAUGAGCCUAAAUCAGAUUAGCUAGUUGGUGGGGUAAAGGCCCACCAAGGCGACGAUCUGUAACUGGUCUGAGAGGAUGAUCAGUCACACCGGAACUGAGACACGGUCCGGACUCCUACGGGAGGCAGCAGUGGGGAAUAUUGGACAAUGGGGGCAACCCUGAUCCAGCCAUGCCGCGUGUGUGAAGAAGGCCUUUUGGUUGUAAAGCGCUUUAAGCAGGGAGGAGAGGCUAAUGGUUAAUACCCAUUAGAUUAGACGUUACCUGCAGAAUAAGCACCGGCUAACUCUGUGCCAGCAGCCGCGGUAAUACAGAGGGUGCGAGCGUUAAUCGGAAUUACUGGGCGUAAAGCGAGUGUAGGUGGCUCAUUAAGUCACAUGUGAAAUCCCCGGGCUUAACCUGGGAACUGCAUGUGAUACUGGUGGUGCUAGAAUAUGUGAGAGGGAAGUAGAAUUCCAGGUGUAGCGGUGAAAUGCGUAGAGAUCUGGAGGAAUACCGAUGGCGAAGGCAGCUUCCUGGCAUAAUAUUGACACUGAGAUUCGAAAGCGUGGGUAGCAAACAGGAUUAGAUACCCUGGUAGUCCACGCCGUAAACGAUGUCUACUAGCCGUUGGGGUCCUUGAGACUUUAGUGGCGCAGUUAACGCGAUAAGUAGACCGCCUGGGGAGUACGGCCGCAAGGUUAAAACUCAAAUGAAUUGACGGGGGCCCGCACAAGCGGUGGAGCAUGUGGUUUAAUUCGAUGCAACGCGAAGAACCUUACCUGGUCUUGACAUAGUGAGAAUCUCUCAGAGAUGAGAGAGUGCCUUCGGGAACUCACAUACAGGUGCUGCAUGGCUGUCGUCAGCUCGUGUCGUGAGAUGUUGGGUUAAGUCCCGCAACGAGCGCAACCCUUUUCCUUAUUUGCCAGCGGGUUAAGCCGGGAACUUUAAGGAUACUGCCAGUGACAAACUGGAGGAAGGCGGGGACGACGUCAAGUCAUCAUGGCCCUUACGACCAGGGCUACACACGUGCUACAAUGGUAGGUACAGAGGGUUGCUACACAGCGAUGUGAUGCUAAUCUCAAAAAGCCUAUCGUAGUCCGGAUUGGAGUCUGCAACUCGACUCCAUGAAGUCGGAAUCGCUAGUAAUCGCGGAUCAGAAUGCCGCGGUGAAUACGUUCCCGGGCCU